rnacentral:rRNA from 1 species
UGGGGAAUUUUGGACAAUGGGGGCAACCCUGAUCCAGCAAUGCCGCGUGAGUGAAGAAGGCCUUCGGGUUGUAAAGCUCUUUUGUCAGGGAAGAAACAGCAGCUCUAAUACAGUAUGCGAAUGACGGUACCUGAAGAAUAAGCACCGGCUAACUACGUGCCAGCAGCCGCGGUAAUACGUAGGGUGCAAGCGUUAAUCGGAAUUACUGGGCGUAAAGCGUGCGCAGGCGGUUAUGUAAGACAGGCGUGAAAUCCCCGGGCUUAACCUGGGAAUUGCGCUUGUGACUGCAUAGCUAGAGUAUGUCAGAGGGGGGUAGAAUUCCACGUGUAGCAGUGAAAUGCGUAGAGAUGUGGAGGAAUACCAAUGGCGAAGGCAGCCCCCUGGGAUAAUACUGACGCUCAUGCACGAAAGCGUGGGGAGCAAACA